rnacentral:tRNA from 1 species
GGAGAGAUGGCAGAGUGGAUUAUUGCAACGGUCUUGAAAACCGUAGAAGAAUUUUUAAUUCUUCCGGGGGUUCGAAUCCCUCUCUCUCCG